rnacentral:rRNA from 1 species
ACCAGCAGCCAUAACACCCUGCAGCUCCCAGCUGGCUGCCCACUGAAGCCCAGCAGGUGUGAGCCUGGCCAGUACCUGGAUGGGAGACCUCCUGGGAAAAACUAAGGUUGGUGCUGGAA